CCUACGGGUGGCAGCAGUGGGGAAUAUUGGACAAUGGGCGAAAGCCUGAUCCAGCCAUGCCGCGUGUGUGAAGAAGGCCUUCGGGUUGUAAAGCACUUUCAGUGGGGAAGAAAGCCUUGGGGCUAAUACCCUCGAGGAAGGACAUCACCCACAGAAGAAGCACCGGCUAACUCCGUGCCAGCAGCCGCGGUAAUACGGAGGGUGCGAGCGUUAAUCGGAAUUACUGGGCGUAAAGCGCGCGUAGGCGGUCUGAUAAGCCGGUUGUGAAAGCCCCGGGCUCAACCUGGGAACGGCAUCCGGAACUGUCAGGCUAGAGUGCAGGAGAGGAAGGUAGAAUUCCCGGUGUAGCGGUGAAAUGCGUAGAGAUCGGGAGGAAUACCAGUGGCGAAGGCGGCCUUCUGGACUAACACUGACGCUGAGGUGCGAAAGCGUGGGUAGCAAACAGGAUUAGAUACCCUUGUAGUC
rnacentral:rRNA from 1 species